CCUACGGGAGACAGCAGUGAGGAAUAUUGGUCAAUGGGCGGGAGCCUGAACCAGCCAAGCCGCGUGAGGGAAGAAGGUACAGCGUAUCGUAAACCUCUUUUGUCAGGGAACAAAGGCGGGGACUAGUCCCCGGAUGCGGGUACCUGAAGACACAGCAUAGACUAACUCCGUGCCAGCAGCCGCGGUAUUACGGAGGAUGCGAGCGUUAUCCGGAUUUAUUGGGUUAAAAGGGUGCGCAGGCGGCCUGUUAAGUCAGCGGUAACCGCCCGGGGCUCAACCCCGGCGAGCCGGUGAAACUGGCGGGCUGGAGUUGGAGAGAAGUACGCGGAAUGCGCGGUGUAGCGGUGAAAUGCUUAGAUAUCGCGCAGAACCCCGAUUGCGAAGGCAGCGUACCGGCUCCACACUGACGCUGAGGCACGAAAGCGUGGGUAUCGAACAGGAUUAGAUACCCCUGUAGUC
rnacentral:rRNA from 1 species